rnacentral:lncRNA from 1 species
AAUGAAGAAAAAUAAAAGAGAAUUUUAGAAAUUAUUUUGGGGUUUUUUGGAUGAAAAAUGAAAUUACUACGAAUUUUAAAAAGAAAAUAGAAAUUAAAAAUAAUAAAAGAAAAAUAAUAGAAAUCAGAAAAACACGGAGUGUUGGAUCACACCUUAUUAAUUGACGUGGUAGAUCCAACACUCAAUAUGUUAGAGAACACGAUGGAACGUGUUGCAAGCCAAACACAGAAUCC